rnacentral:lncRNA from 1 species
ACAGAUAUGACAAACUGACAAGGAUCAUCACAGGCUGAAUCAACACCUGCCUCUUCGUACCCAAGAUUGAAGCCGAUCUCUUUCACCUCAAAAAUGGUAUCAGCAUCAUCUCUAUUAUAUACUGAAAUACUAAUCUCGUCUCCAGGUCCUGCCUCGUGACUACCCAAUUUCCAAUGGCUUAACCAUGUUGUAUAUUCAACUCCCUCAGAAAUGCCAUGACAGGCUGGACCAUAUAUGAUUAUUUUAUCCUUGGUCCUGUUGUUGAGUAUCAGAAAGAAUCUUUGCAUUAUCGCAAGGUUCCUUAAAAGAUUAUGAUGUUUUGUGUUGAAAUUGUACACGAUGCAGGUGUUUAAAUAUCUGAGUUUAGAAUGAGAUACGGUAAAGGAUACCGAAGAUAUGUUGCAUUGACUUGUGAAAACAUCUGGAACAUUGUUUCCAGGGUAAAAAAUGUUGAAUGCCUUGCCGGUAAACAAAUCCUGAAAUAUUCCCUGUAUGCAAAAACGCUGAAUAAUUAGAAGCAGAACAGUGCUCUAUGCUGUUUGAUAUGACAGCAGUCUAAGAGAUAUGACAGUAGUUCGUAAUUAUAAAGAGAGCAGCCUAAGAGAUAUGACAGCAGUUUGUAAUUAUAACAAGUACAGGCUGACAUAUAGGAAGCAGAAGAAGUGCCAUUAAACUGAUCCUUAGAAACCUAUCAACCCAUUAAAAAUCAAAUCAAACCAGGCCUCGAGACCAAAACCAUGUUAAGUAAUCAACUCAUCAACACUUAGCCUUUCCAGGAACAUAUAUCAUUCCACAGAUAUAAAAGUUGAGUGAAUUGCUACAGCUAUAUCUGACUUAUAUGGUAAUUUCAUAUAGAAACACAAACACAUAUAGGAGAAACAUGGGGGGGUUGAGUGAUCACCUGGAUUGUCACCUGGAUUGGACAUUUUGUGAUGAUACCAGUGAAGUUAUUGAAUAACUAUAUCUGCAUUAUUUUCUUGGCUUCCACAUCAUCGAUACCACAUUUUCUGAUAAAAUUCUUAUCUAUCUUUCCGAUUGGUACAAUCUUGAAUUUGGUGUCCAUUUCGGUUAGUUUCUUGCAUAGGAAAGGAGAGUUAUAUUUUUCAAAAUGUGAGCUUGGCUCAUUGGAUAUGAUUUUCUGCAAUAAUGGGCAGUCAAAAGCCGAAAGUGUCUCAAUUUUGCAUGGUAAAUCAAGCACUUGAAGCCGGUUGCAUUAUAUCAAUUGUAGAAGCCCGGGUCUUUUCAGACCUUCAAAGCAAUCUGGUAGGAAGCAGAUUGGGUUCUGACUCAAGCUUAAGAACACCAUUGACGAUGUGAAACAGAAAUCCAUGGGGAAAAGCAUUGUCAUGUAGAUUGCAAUUUACCAAACUCAAUCUAGUAAUGAAGUUGCAUGGUAAAGAAGUCAAUGAUAAUGGAGGACCUAUUCUUGAAUUACCGAAAUCAAUUCCAUUAGCAAUAAAAACUUUCAAGGAUUCCAUUUUUCUCUUAUCUACAGGGUGCAUUCCAAGAUUUGAACAACCUGAGAUGAUCAGUGUUUCCAGAUACUUUAGCAUGCAUAUAUUUUUUGGAAGCCUCUUCAAAAAAUUGCAGUGCUUUAAAUCCAACAAGACAAGUCCUUCAGCCAUUCUAAUAGAUUCAUCAAUCUCGACUAAACUCACACAAUCUUCACGGAUCAAUUGCUCCAGGACACAAAGUGUUGCAAAGUUGGGAGUUUCAACAAGGUCAUGGCAGUGGCUCAAAUUUAGAAACUUCAGUGAUCUGAGUAGCUGCGAGAUAUAAAAAAGAAGUGUUAAGCUAAACACAUAUUACAUGCCGUUUUCUAUAAAUUAUUUAUUCACGACAAGUCAGAACUUAGCAUGAAUACCAUGUCUCUGUGCACCAAUUUUUCCAACUUACUACUUUGCAUGUCGAUUGCAACUAAGCUGCUCAAAGGGAAGCCAUCUGGUUAAGAUCUUGAGGAGAAUUUUUUCCAAGAUAACCAUUUCAAAUUUUUAGGGAAUUGUUUGUAACCUCCACCUAGCCGCACAUUAUUGAUAUGCAAAUCUCUUUAGCCGAAAACUGUUAGUUGUAACCGACGCAGUUGUUUAAGUGUCUGAGUUUGGAAUGGGAUAUGAUACAGGACACUAAAGAUGGAUUGCAUUGACUAAUGAACCAUAUUGGAACACUGCUCCAGGGUAAAAAAUGCUGAAUGCCUUGCCACUCUCCGGAUCUUGAAAUAUUCCCUGUAUAGUGAAAUCGCUAAAUAAACUGAUGAAUAUAAUUCUUGUAAUUUGUCCUUUCAAGCAGUUAAUAAGGAUACAAAUAACUACUUUUUCUGUUGUGUCAUUUAACCAAGACAAAAUCAACAUAGUUAUAUUUAUUUCACUUGAUAAAAAGAAAAACCAAAACAUUUAACAGUCUAGUAGAUUUCAUUGUCAGUCCGUAAUUAUAAAACUUCCAAGCUGACAGAUAACAAAGCAAUAAAGAGCUUUUCUCCUUUCAUUUACUUUGAAACAGAGGAAGUGCAUAGAAACAUAUAUAUAGAGAGAGGGAGGGAUCACCUGGAUUGAGUAUCAUUAUAAAUCUUCAAGCGCUUGAAGCUGUUUGCAUUCCAUGAAUUGCAGAUUCUUGAAUAUUUUGAGACCCUAGAAGCAAUCUGGUAGAAAGCGGAUUGGGUUCUUACUCAGGUUUAAACUUUCAAGUAAGGGUGGAAAACAGUAAUCUUUGUGAAACAAGCUACUGAGAGUUGAGGACCUAUUCUUAAUUUUGAAACAAAACCCUGGAUGAAAUCUAGCCAUGUGUUAAAGCAAGAAGAGGCCACUAGGAUGAUGAUGAAGGUUCGAGACCUUAGCAGGGGUGAACAUACAUGUUAAUCUUAGAAGAGUUGUUAGAGUCUACAAUACACAUUAAUUUUUGUUAACGAGUUGUGCUCACUGUAAAGUUGUGAUCAAACAGUCGGUGAGUAUCUCAUCAAUUCUUCCCGGAAUAUAAGAUGGAAUCCCUCUAUCACGGUUACCAAGGAAGUAUACUUGUGUGGCUCCAUAAUGUUGAUCUGGCUCUGCUCCCACUGGGAUGACAUACUCAUCAACACUUGCCUCUUCUGGCCCUUCUUCAUAUACCACAUUCACGCCUAUCUCUUUGGGAGGUUCAUAAUUGUAGCCUGUCCAUACCCACCAUACUGAUACAUUGACCUCAUCUCCAGGUCCCAUUUCGUGACUGCCAAAUGUCCAAUGGCUUAACCAUGUCAUAUCUCCACCUCGUUCAGCCAUGCCAUAACAACAUCGAUCAUAUAAGAUUAUCUUGUCCUUGCUUCUGUUAUGGAUUACCAGAUAUACCUCGGGAGAAGAUUUCAGGACCACGCAGAUGUUUAAGCAUUUGAGUUUAGAAUGAGAUACGGUAAAGGAUAUCGAAUAUGCUUUGUGUUGACAAGUGAAACCUGUCGGUACACUGCUCCCUGGGUAAAAUAUGUUGAAUAUCUUGUUACCAUAAGGCGUAUCCUCAAAUAUUCCCUGUACAGUGAAAUAGCUGAAUAAACACAAAUACAAAAUAUAUUUUCGUGUAUGGAGAGAGAAAGAGAAACCACCUGGAUUGGCCAUGUUCCGCCUGCUGUGAACACAAUCAUUAACGUCAUUUGGAUUUUCUUUAUCGCUUCCACAUCAAAAAUACCACAACUGUUAAUGAAUUUUGAGUCUAUUUCUCCUAUCGGUACCAUCUUGUACAAACUUUGCAUCUCUAUUAGUUUCUCGCAUUUGAAUACGUUAACAGUAUCAAAAGAAAACUUAAACGGCCCAUUGAACGUAAUUUUUUCUAAUAAUCGGCAAGAACCGGCACUAAUGAGCUUUAACAUGUUUGGUAUACCUUCGAGUGCUUGAAGCUGCUUGCAUUUUUCUGUCUGGAGAGUCUUGAGCCUUUUCAGGCCUUUAAAGCAAUCUGGUAAGAAGCGGAUUGGGUUCUUGCUCAAGUCUAAGAACUCCACUGAGUGUCCGAAAAAUAAAUCCUUGGGAAAAUCAUAAUCAUGGAGAUUGCAAUUCACCAGACUCAAUUUAGUAAUGCCUUCGGACGGUAACGAAGUCAACGAGAGUUGAGGAGUUUUUGGAACCCAACCCCAGAUGAAAUCUCGCCAUGUUUUAUUUUCCACAGUUGUUUUGCUUGAACUACCAAAAUCAAUUCCAUCAGCAAGAAAAGCUUUUAAAGAUUCCAUGUGUUUCAUCUCUGCAGGAAGCUUGUCAAGGUUUGAACAUCCUGAGAUGAUUAGUGUUUCCAGAAACUUCAGCAUGCCAAUAUUCUUCGGAAGCGUCUUCAAAAGUUUGCAGUCCUUUAAAUUUAACAGCACAAGUCCAGCAGCCAUUCCAAUAGACUCGUCAAUCUCGACUAAACUCACACAAUCUUCGACUAUCAAUUGCUCUAGAGCAAUGAGUUCUGCAAAGUUGGGACUUUUCACGAGGUCAUGGGAGUGACUCAGAUCAAGAAACUUGAGUGAUUUAAAAAGCUGCAAAAUAAAUUAAAAAAGAAGGAAAGAAGCUUCAACUUCAUAAAUCUAUAAAAGAACCUUUAAUAUAUACAUAAAAUUUGAAGACGAGGCAGAACUUGGUAUGGUUACCAUGCUUCCCUGCCCCAGUUUUUGCAAUUUACUUCUUUGCAUCUCAAUUACGACUAGGCUAGUUGAAGGAAAGCCUUCGGGUAAAGCUUUUAAAGGGCAUUCAAGCCAAUAUAACCAUUCCAACUUUUUAGGGAAGUCCUCGUAACCACCAUUUAGCCGCACAUUAUCAAGCUUAAGUAGUCUAAGCUUGUGCAUCCUGGAGAAAGCUGAUGUUCUCAACUCCACCUGACAUACAUUAGCCCUAUUCAAUUCCAGUGCUAAGCCUUCAAUUGCUCUAGUUCCCUGGUAGAAGCAGUGUGCAAUUAUAAUAACACUUUCACAUGAACAAGAUGUAAUUGUUCUAAUGAUCAUACAAUAAAUUUUCUUACUGUUUUAUCUUUUAAUACUUCGAGGGAGUCUUUAUAAUGCCACAGUCUACUUCGUUCCCCUGGUUCUUUUGGUGAUUGCUGGCGGAUAAUUUCUCUACCCAUGCUCUGAAUUAAAUGAUGCAUUGUGAGGUUUCCAAAUUCAAUUUUCAACAGACAUCUAUCAAUAAGUUUUUCAAUUGCAAUUCUUGUCUGAUAUUUGCGUUCAUCCAAUAUCAUGACCACCCGUGACAUGGCCUCUCCACAAAAGAAACAUGCAAUAUCAAGGAAUAAAUCUCUAUCACAGUCCUGCUCCAAAGAAUCAUAGCUUAUUUGCAAUAUUUUCUGAAUUUUGUGGUGAGGAAUUACUUCCAAUUUCUCUAUCGCACUUCUCCAAACAUCCAACACUUUGUCACGUACAUAAGCACCUAAAACUUCAAGGGCUAAAGGGAGACCUUCACUUUGCUUUAAUAUCUUCUGUGAGUGCUUUUUGUAAUAUUCUGGUGGGCAACUCUCUCGGAAUGCAUGGCGGCUGAACAGCUCUGAGGAAUCCUGAAGAUUCAGUGUUUCCACAGCAUGUCUUGUACAAGGUUCACGAGCUUUCAGCAAAUCUACAUCCCGAGUUGUGAGGAUGAUCUUGCUUCCAGGGUGGAAAUACUCUCGCAUCCCAAAGACUGCAUCUAAUUGUUCAACUUGAUCUACAUCAUCCAAGACUAUCAGCAGUUUCCUAAGACGAACAGCUCUUUGUAUCUUACAAAUGCCAUCAUUAAUAUUGUUGAUGGUUGGGGUGUUUCCCUUAGAUAUAUCCGCAAGAAGCUGUCUUUGCAAACAAACCAAACCAUCCCACCUUUCAGAGUAUUCUCUUAUAUUUUCUAAGAAACUGCAGCCUUCAAAUAAUUGGAAGUUCAUGUUAUAAACGUAUUUUGCAAUGGUCGUCUUUCCCACUCCACCGAUACCAUAGAGUGCAAACACUUCCACAUCGUUGGAACCAUUUCUUAUCCAUGAAUUUAUGGCCUCUGCUGUAGCUUUGAUUCCGACAAGAUGUGGUGUUAUACUUAAGAUGUUAAAAGCCACUUUAUCACUGACGCGCUUGACUAUAUCCUUGAUAAAUUCGGCUUCGUGCCUACAGAAUGAAAAGAUUAGUGAGAAAUUUUAGAUUAAACUGAUAGUUCACUGAUCACUGAUAAUUACGUUAAUAUGGAUAUGGAACUAGUUUAUUUUGGUUCAUAAUUAGAAAAGCAAUGGUUAGACACCUUGACGUAUAAAAUAUGAUGUGAAGUCUUAUAAAAAAUUACCCAUUUGUUCCAUGCGGAAACGUCAUGCCUGCCAAGUCAGCAACCUGGGCAAGAGCCGUCCUCCAUCGCUUUAUUUUGUGCACCAACUCACUCCUUGUUGUAUCAUCCCCUUCUCUCUUGAACUUCUCUUCAUGCAUAUAAAAUGCUUGAGAAACAGAACCAGAUUGUUUACGAAUAUCGGAUGGGUCAACAUGGUAAAAAAUAGGCAGUAGAAGACGUUUUGAGUUGUUCCUGCACUGGAGAAUCAUCACAAGUUCGUCAAGGCACCAACUGGAGAACACAUAGUUCUCUGAGAAUACAAUUAUCCAACUUCUGGACUCCUGAAUACUUUCUUCUAACUCAGAUUUAAUAGUCUCUCCCCUCUCAAUUUCCUCAUUAUCUCUGAAUACGAUUAAACCUUCAUUUACUAGAGCAGUGUAGAGGUGAUCUGUAAAGGUUUUGUGUGUGUCUUCACCUCUAAAACUCAAAAAAGCAUCAUACUUGUACUUGUCAGAUGAUGAAUCAACUGACUCCUGUUUCGGCAUGACUAAAGAAAUCUAAUCAGCUCUGUCUGAUUCUUGAUGUGAUGAAUUGGGCUGAAGAGACAAUAACAAUAUGAUUGUAUAUAAAGGUCAGUAAUCCCUGACUUGAGAAACCACUAAAACCAUAUAUAAGAAGCAUCAAAUUAUGUCUGAAAUGAGGACACGCUUACUUUUAAAUAGAAAAAUAUGUUAAUCCACAACAUAAUCCAAAAAAAAAAGAGAAAAAAGACAUGCAUCUGUUAUAUUAAGCAAUCAGUUAAAAAUUGAAUUAUGAAAGCUUACAAGUGAAUAUGGCAGUAUGAGAAAAUGUAAAUAGGCAGAGAGAGCUGAAGAAGCUUGAGGGAGACUUGAAGUCUAGAUCAAUUAUUGACACUUGGGGUCAUGCUUUUAGCAUGUAUAUAUUGACUCUAAUGGAGACUCUGGUGGGGCCUCAAGGUGUUGAGGUUUAAACUAAGACCAUUUGCUAGUGAGAAAUCAUUCAUUUGAGUCAAUGUGAUACAUUCCGCCCUUCUUUUCAUAUUGCAAACAAAAAUUUUAACAUACAUUACAGUACCCUUAUCAAUGUCAUAAAAAAGAAAAAUACGCACUUAAAGAUAAUAGUCAAGGUGCACGAAAGCUGCCACUGACCGGAAAAAAUAAAAGCGUAUACAUGGCAACGAUAGGCGGCAGCAGAUUUUCUGAGUUGUUCCUCGGCAGCAGACACGUCUUAAAUUUUCAUCACAGUCACGUUUUCUUCAUCAGCAGACGUUUUGAGUUGGCUCUGCCUCCACCAGGAUAGCAUACUCACAAGUUUGAUGUCUGCUUUCUUGCCCUUCAAAUUCACUUCCUGGGUGUAAGAUGUCACUUCUCUAUACAAUUCAUAUGUUCUGUAUGAGUGAGUAUGACCCUUUUUCGGAACUAAAUGUUCUAUAUCAACUUAAAUUGAAAAUUAUAACAUAAACUUGCUGGGUGCAAGACUGAACUUGUAAAUUUCAGAGUAAUAUUUUCUUCAUUAGACUAUCAGCAUGUACUCCGUGAUCACCAAGAAAGUAUAGCUGUGUUGUUCCGUGAUAUUCUGAUGGCUGUUGUUUGACAGAUAUGACAAACUGACAAGUAUCAUCACAGGCUGAAUCGACACCUGCCUCUUCGUACCCAAGAUUGAAGCCAAUCUCUUUCACCUCAAAAAUGGUAUCAGCAUCAUCUCUAUUAUAUACUGAAAUACUAAUCUCGUCUCCAGGUCCUGCCUCGUGACUACCCAAUUUCCAAUGGCUUAACCAUGUUGUAUAUUCAACUCCCUCAGAAAUGCCAUGACAGGCUGGACCAUAUAUGAUUAUUUUAUCCUUGGUCCUGUUGUUGAGUAUCAGAAAGAAUCUUUGCAUUAUC